AUCUUCAGGGCGGGGUGUAAUUCCCCACCGGCGGUACAGCCCGCGAGCCCCAAAGGGUAUGAUUCGGUGAAAUUCCGAGGCCGACAGUAAAGUCUGGAUGGAAGAAGU
rnacentral:ncRNA from 1 species